AUUGAACGCUGGCGGCAUGCCUUACACAUGCAAGUCGAACGGUAACGCGGGGCAACCUGGCGACGAGUGGCGAACGGGUGAGUGAUGCAUCGGAACGUGCCCAGUAGUGGGGGAUAGCCCGGCGAAAGCCGGAUUAAUACCGCAUACGACCUACGGGUGAAAGCGGGGGACCGUAAGGCCUCGCGCUAUUGGAGCGGCCGAUGUCAGAUUAGGUUGUUGGUGGGGUAAAAGCCUACCAAGCCGACGAUCUGUAGCUGGUCUGAGAGGACGACCAGCCACACUGGGACUGAGACACGGCCCAGACUCAGACGGGAGGCAGCAGUGGGGAAUUUUGGACAAUGGGGGCAACCCUGAUCCAGCCAUGCCGCGUGCGGGAAGAAGGCCUUCGGGUUGUAAACCGCUUUUGUCAGGGAAGAAACGCUCUGGGCUAAUACCCCGGGGUAAUGACGGUACCUGAAGAAUAAGCACCGGCUAACUACGUGCCAGCAGCCGCAGUAACAC
rnacentral:rRNA from 1 species